rnacentral:rRNA from 1 species
AUUGAACGCUGGCGGCAGGCCUAACACAUGCAAGUCGAACGAGUGGCGGACGGGUGAGUAAUGUCUGGGAAACUGCCCGAUGGAGGGGGAUAACUACUGGAAACGGUAGCUAAUACCGCAUACCAUCGGAUGUGCCCAGAUGGGAUGAGCUUGUAGGUGAGGUAACGGCUCACCUAGGCGACGAUCCCUAGCUGGUAUGGGAGGAUGCCCCGCCACAGUGGAACUGAGACACGGGCCAGAAUCCUACGGGAGUCAGCAGUGGGGAAUAGUGCACAAUGGGCGCAAGCCUGAGGCAGCCAUGCGGCGUGUAUGAAGAAGGCCUUCGGGUUGUAAAGUACUUUCAGCGGGGAGGCGUUACCCGCAGAAGAAGCACCGGCUAACUCCGUGCCAGCCGCCGCUGUAAUAC